UAAACACUAGAUGCAAGUAUAUAUUUAACUAGAAAUUUCAAGUUAGAGCCCCGGAAACAAAGAACCUACUGAUAAAAUAGUAUUUUACCUCUUAGUAGAUCUAACAUAGCACGAAUAUAAAUAGCAGGUCCAGUGAAUUUCGAAACCAGAAAAAUUAAUAAGAGAAUGUGGCUUCUGUCAGAUAUAAUUCAACUACCAAAUGGAUCCAAAAUAAUUUGGGCUAUAGUCAACACUUUCAUGAAUGCUCACCUACUAGAGAACUUACUAAAUCUAGAUAGGCUGGCUUAGAUAUGUCACAAAAUAUUGAACUCCAUUUUCUAAGAUCGAAUAAAUCUAGAUAUGCUGACUUAAAUAUAACAAAAACAUUAAUUUCCAAUAUAAUCCCAUUUCCUGAGUUUCAAUCUUCAUUAUGAAGCAUUAGUCAAAGUAUAAGGCAUUCUAGUCAAUGCUUCUAAUUUUCAAGCUAUGUUUCAUUCUUUUUCUUGGCUUAUUUUUUCUUCCAAUUUUACUUCCU
rnacentral:lncRNA from 1 species